rnacentral:pre_miRNA from 1 species
AAUGACUGGCCUGCUCCAUGCUAAGUACUAGUGCCGCAGGUGUCUGUGUUUCCUCGAACCCCUGCAGACUGGUGCUUAACAUGGGACAGGUAAUACUGCCACCU